AUUAUUUAUUUCAAAUACAUAAUUAAGCAAACAUCCUUAUUUGAGACGAGAGCAAACAGACACACACAUACGAGGAGUGGUCCUGUUUUCUUCGUUAAGGAGAUGUUCGUCGAUCCCUUGGGACAUUUCUGUAAGGAGCUGGACAAGAGUCUCAGGGUGAGCCACCUCCUCAGUCCUCACUAAUUUUCUCAUACUCAAUGUGCCAGUGCACAAUACUUCCAGACCCUUCAUGCUUAGGGGUCGCCUGGAUCGUCAACACAAAGUUCUUGUACUCUUUCCUGAGAUCACCUUCUAUAAUCCUCAUCUUGAACAGAAUGGUUUUAUCAAAUAGUGCAUAAAUUUAACUUGCCAUGAACGUAGUUCCAGACGAUGAUUGAGCCGAGUUUGCCCCAUUCGCCUUCGUGCAGAUCACAUCCCUUAAUGUGGCCCGGGGAUGCUUUGGGGAUAUGGUGUGGUCUCUGCGAACAUGUGAUGGAACUUUUCAGCCGAAGCUUUGAUCUCCACUUCUAUCUAAAGCUUCCCCAGCAAACAAGACGGUUCUGCCAUGUUUUUUUCUUAUCUUAAGAAAAUGGAUGGUUAUGAUUUUAGGAGAGGAGUGAGUUUUUAGCAUGCUCUAUUUAUUGUCCAUUCAAAUAAUAUCAUGAAUAGUUUUGUGGCCAAAUUCAUAUGUGGUCACGGAUUCAAAAUCAUUAUCAUAAUAAUUUGUAUA